GACGAACGCUGGCGGCGUGCUUAACACAUGCAAGUCGAACGGAAAGGCCCUGCUUUUGUGGGGUGCUCGAGUGGCGAACGGGUGAGUAACACGUGAGUAACCUGCCCUUGACUUUGGGAUAACUUCAGGAAACUGGGGCUAAUACCGGAUAGGAGCUCCUGCUGCAUGGUGGGGGUUGGAAAGUUUCGGCGGUUGGGGAUGGACUCGCGGCUUAUCAGCUUGUUGGUGGGGUAGUGGCUUACCAAGGCUUUGACGGGUAGCCGGCCUGAGAGGGUGACCGGGCACAUUGGGAAUGGGAUAAGGGCCAGACUCCUACGGGAGGCAGCAGUGGGGAAUAUUGCACAAUGGGCGGAAGCCUGAUGCAGCAACGCCGCGUGCGGGAUGACGGCCUUCGGGUUGUAAACCGCUUUCGCCUGUGACGAAGCGUGAGUGACGGUAAUGGGUAAAGAAGCACCGGCUAACUACGUG
rnacentral:rRNA from 1 species